UUUUCGCCCGUCUGCCCAACCUGUGAUCCCGCAGCGCCGGCAGGUGGGGCCUCCUCCCCGUGCGCGAGCUCCCACAUCGUGCAAUCACGAUCGCGAGAUCACCUCCACCAAUCACGCUCGACCUUCCCUUCCCCGCGCUCGCGUCCAUGGAUCCGCCGCCCACCAAGGUAGGAUCCAAAUCGCCCUAUGGAUCCGACGGCGCCCCCUCACUAAUCCCCAUCCUUAGUGGCACCCCUUCCUUUUGCAUCAGGUCCUAGCGCCGAUGAUGCUACAGGUAGGGAGGGGAGGAGGUGGGGGAGCGCUGGUGAUGUGCAACACUGGCAGCGUGGGUGUCCACGACGAUGACAACGAGGAGGAGGACAGCGAUCGGGCAUCUCCGACUCAAAGUUGAGUGCGUGAACCAGGGCUUCCAUGACCUCGUGCUCGCCUUGUAAGUGGCUUACCGGCGGCGCGUUGCCUCCGCAGCAGCUCUUCACGGCGUGGUGCCAAGUAGCUCCAGCUCGGGUGGCUUCGGGUGCGGGUGGUCCACCGAGCGGCAGCCCCAGGACGAGAGAGCUGAGGUCGUCGUCAUGGGCCUGCGGCCCUCGGCUCGGCGGCGGCACCGACCUAGGUCAGGGCUUCGCUCCCUUCAUUGGAUCUCCUCGUCUACCGAUCCCAUCGUAUGUAUUUUGUUGUGUGGGUUAUUAGGAGUUCUGGGAUUCUGGAUCUAAUUGCCUCUGGUUGCUGGGUGGGGUGGAUUCGAACCCGGAGAACACGGUAGGCGUGAUGACGAUGGUCGGGAUUCCGGGAAGGGCGUCCGCGUGCUUGUCACUCCCACCAGCGACCUCGUGAAGAUUCUCGCUUGUAUGCAAGCAUGCUUGACGCCCAACUAUGCAUCGGCAUCGCCGUUGAGCUCAAUUGUCAGAGCAUUGUUCCUGGGAGGCAAAGCACCAUGUGUGCAGUUUUAGUUCAUGGAAAGAUGCCAUAUGUUAACUCUCAUAGUGAUGGAGCACCCAGCAACUUUUGUGGAUUGUAAAUGUUCACACGAAGAAUGGAUGGCCUUCGCAUGUGCAUUGAUGAUGGCUGUGUUGUCAGUAACUUUAAUUGUUGCUCAGGCAUUGAGGAAGGAGCCGUUGACGGUUUAUGGUGAUGCAAAUCAAAACAUGAGUUUCUAAUAAUAUGUUCUCAUCUGGUAGAUAAUAUUAUUGAGGAAGGAGCCGUUGACAGUUUUAUUUUAUUGAGGAAGGAGCCGUUGACGAGCAUUUCCCACAUAAUAUACAUGGUUAUAUACAAUUGAGUGUGACUUAAAUUAUCAAAAAAUAUCGUUGUUUGGUUGUUUUUA